GAGCUUUCUGGCAGUGUAAAUGCAUCUGAAUGGAGGUCCUGUGAAACUCCAACAAAAAGACACGGCAUAUUGAAACUGAGAGCGUAAGCCUUCAGAAGCUACAUGACGUUGGAGGAAAAGCAGAAUUCUGGAGUGAAAAUUGACUGUCAUAAAAACUCUAAAGCAUUGAAUACGGGUAAUGGGACAAGAGAAAGGGUAUUGCCCUGGCAACAAAAACUCAAGUUGAAUCUCCUGCAACCAGUACACUAUCCAGAAAGGAAGGACCUAAUCAAAUAAGCUUACAUAUGUGGAUAUGCCUACACACGUGUUACAAUCUUGAAAAUAUAAUCUAGGUAUUAAACGUGCAGCAAAGAAUUUGGCUCUUUAUUGCAGAUUUGUAACUCUUAAUCUAUUAAAAUGAA